rnacentral:rRNA from 1 species
GAUGAACGCUGGCGGCGUGCCUAAUACAUGCAAGUCGAGCGAACGGACGAGAAGCUUGCUUCUCUGAUGUUAGCGGCGGACGGGUGAGUAACACGUGGAUAACCUACCUAUAAGACUGGGAUAACUUCGGGAGACCGGAGCUAAUACCGGAUAAUAUUUUGAACCGCAUGGUUCAAAAGUGAAAGACGGUCUUGCUGUCACUUAUAGAUGGAUCCGCGCUGCAUUAGCUAGUUGGUAAGGUAACGGCUUACCAAGGCAACGAUGCAUAGCCGAUCUGAGAGGGUGAUCGGCCACACUGGAACUGAGACACGGUCCAGACUCCUACGGGAGGCAGCAGUAGGGAAUCUUCCGCAAAGGGCGAAAGCCUGACGGAGCAACGCCGCGUGAGUGAUGAAGGUCUUCGGAUCGUAAAACUCUGUUAUUAGGGAAGAACAUAUGUGUAAGUAACUGUGCACAUCUUGACGGUACCUAAUCAGAAAGCCACGGCUAACUACGUG